rnacentral:lncRNA from 1 species
UUGUGACUCUAAAUUCAGAAGCAGAAGCAAGAAUGUCGAAAAGUGGAAUGUUAUGGAUAUCCUUUGGAAACUUGGCGUCUGCAUUUGCUGUUCAUAAAUAUUGUGUUUGGAAGAAUCAGAAACUCAAUUUCUCCAAACCUGAAUCUUCUUCAAUUCAUCCUUCUUCUUUAAUCCAAAGUUUUCAACUUCGUAAGUGGAAUUUCUGUUCUCUGUUGAGUUUUCAUACUAUCUUACUGUUAUGAUUUCAGAAUAUGCUAAUGAAUACUUUUAAAUUAUAUUAUGUUUGUUUCUCUUUGACAGGUGGACUUUCUAUGGAAGACUUGAUAGAUAUCGCUAUGACCUGAAGCAAGCUUGGAUUUCUUUUGCCUUCUUUUCUGGUUUUCAUGUAACAUCUUUCCUUUUAAGGAAUAUACAUGUUUUUGUUUUUG